GCAUUAUAAAAAAUUCUUUUAAGAAUACACUACAGACGUGAUAUGUGGCCUGCAAAGCCUACAGUAUUUACUGUCUGGCCCUUUCCAGAACAAGUUUACCGACUCCAGGUCUAAACCUUCAGGGACCUCAUUCAUCCAGAGGGAUGCCUGUCAUGUCCCUGAGCUUGGUGGGCUGGGUCCUCACAGCUCCUCAUUCCCUUUGAUCUGCUUUGUUUUCUUUUUCUGUUCAGUAAUAUUAGAGACAAAAUGUUCCAUAUAUAUUUCUGGGGAAUGGCAUAAUAGAUAUCAAAUCUAACAACCAAUAAAUUAAUAUUUGCCUCUUCCAAGAAGAUCAACAUCGUGGGUGACGAUCUGGCCCAAUCCCUGUGUCUCUACUGUGAUAGAAACAAAGUUCCUGAUUAAAAACCAGCCAAAGAGGACCCAAGCGAUCAAAGCAAAGGGAAUGCUGAUGGGGGUAAGCAGCCAAGCCAGGACCGUAGGCCAGAGCUGACUGCAAAGCUCAGAUGAAGAAACUGAGUCUUGUGAAGCCGAAUGCAACACUGGAGAAAGAAUGUCUGGAAAACUCAGUUAACGGCACAAGAAACACAGCCAAGGGCGGCAGCCCUAACUCAGGCUCUCUAGGCUGGUUUGGUGUUCCUCACUAAGGCUAUAAAUACCCCACCCUACAGUUUA